GGGAAAAAAAAAAUCAAACAACCCAAUAUUUUUAUACAGAAGAGGUUCACUUGUUCUUUGUGCUUUAUUGGACACUCCAGACCCCACAGGGGUGAUGUGGGGUUUAACUUGGGCUCUUCUGCUUUAAGGCACUAAAACCAGAACUGCCAGGCACCUUCUCUUCUGCUGCUGAUCAAAAAUGGGUUUUAGUGUCUGACAGGGACUGUAGAAACUCGGAGCAAAAUUCUUUUCAGGUCCUUUGUGGUGUGCAGGGCCCUGGCCUGGCUGCAGGAGCAGAUUAAUGCUGCCAGCAGGGUGGGAGGAAGCAGAUAAGAGCAGAUCUCUCUGGGAGGGGUUCUUGGCACAGCUUCAUCCCAAGGAGAGUCCUCACAAAUUUCUUUUUAGUUUGUCCUGCACUUAAAAUGAUUCAGGGAAGCAGGCUGGGGUGGGUAUAAUGGGAGUAUCACUGCCAACAGAGA